UGCGGAGCUGCUUCCACCCGGGGGAAGAGCCCGCGCGCUUCGUCCCGAGGGGAGCGUGGAUUAUGUAGCGCGGCCGGGAGGCGCCGCGGAGCCCCCAGUUAGGGCUCCAGACUUUAAACAUCUCUCCCGGGGCUCCCCCCGGCGGAGGCUGGGCCCAGGCCGGCGUGCAGCCGCGGGGUGGGCGGGGUGGAGGGUGCAGGCUGGCGCGGUGCCCAGGCUUCGGUGUGCAAGCACCACACGAGGCCAGCCGCGUAAACUGAGUUGUAUUGCUCUUUUUUUUCCCCCCUACCCAGAAAAUGAAACACAGCCGCCAGCGGCUGGACGAAAGCACCUGAGAGCUCCCUUCUCCUCUGAGGAGAGUUUCAACCGACUUCAGCUUGAGUGAUCCAGGUCAUUUGGCUAGAAGAUUUGCCUGUGCACUGAAUGAGAACCUAGCCCUGCCGUGUGCCCCUGGACCUGGUGGGCUGGACUCUGACACGCCUUUUGGGCCUUCAGUGGCUGAAGGCCGCCCUGCUUGGCGGCUGUGAAUAAAAGGAGCUCCCCACACUUGGCCGAGA